rnacentral:rRNA from 2 species
CUGGCAGUCAGAGGCGAUGAAGGGCGUGCUAAUCUGCGAUAAGCGCCGGUAAGGUGAUAUGAACCGUUAUAACCGGCGAUACCCGAAUGGGGAAACCCAGUGUGACUCGUCACACUAUCAUUAACUGAAUCCAUAGGUUAAUGAGGCGAACCGGGGGAACUGAAACAUCUAAGUACCCCGAGGAAAAGAAAUCAACCGAGAUUCCCCCAGUAGCGGCGAGCGAACGGGGAGGAGCCCAGAGCCUGAAUCAGCAUGUGUGUUAGUGGAAGCGUCUGGAAAGGCGCGCGAUACAGGGUGACAGCCCCGUACACAAAAGCGCAUGUGCUGUGAGCUCGAUGAGUAGGGCGGGACACGUGGUAUCCUGUCUGAAUAUGGGGGGACCAUCCUCCAAGGCUAAAUACUCCUGACUGACCGAUAGUGAACCAGUACCGUGAGGGAAAGGCGAAAAGAACCCCGGCGAGGGGAGUGAAAAAGAACCUGAAACCGU